UAAACGGUGUUUCUUUUCUAAGGUGGACAGCAGCAAGGAAUCAGCUGAAGCAGCUUGUGAUAUACUAUCGCAACUUGUGAAUUGCUCUUUAAAAACACUUGGACUUAUUUCAACUGCUCGACCAAGCUUUAUGGAUUUACCAAAGUCUCACUUUAUCUCUGCACUGACAGUUGUGUUCGUAAACUCCAAAUCCCUGUCUUCGCUUAAGAUAGAUGAUACUCCAGUAGAUGAUCCAUCUCUCAAAGUACUAGUGGCCAACAAUAGUGAUACACUCAAGCUGUUGAAAAUGAGCAGCUGUCCUCAUGUCUCUCCAGCAGGUAUGUUGUGUUUUUUGCUAGACACAUUUUAGUAAAAUGCAUUGCUAUGUUCAAAUUAGAAAAAACUAUGAUCAUUAACCUUGAAGGUGGAUUAAUAUGACUGCUUCAUCUCUUUAAAAUAUUUUUAAUGUAGUAAUAGAAUAGCAUAAGUUCUGUAGGGUUACUAGCCUAGACACUGACUUUCAGCUUAUUUUCUAAUCUUAUUUGAUAAAUUUAUGAAUAGCACAUGCUAGAAAAUGAACAG
rnacentral:lncRNA from 1 species